UACUCAAAGACUGAUGAUGCAAUUCGA
rnacentral:piRNA from 2 species